CCGGUGCAAGCUCCCACCUCACCGUGGUGUACCGGUCUAGUAGCCCUUCGGGGUGAAGCUAACGGGAGC
rnacentral:ribozyme from 1 species